GAAAGUGGCCGCUUGCCAGAGAUCUGUGCAGCUUACUGGCUUGGUGGGUGGAAGAAAAUAGCACAGACCAACGUGAGGGAAACAUCUACUCCUCCUUCCAGCAUGUGCCCGUCAUGCCUCCCCGGAAACGCUGGACAGAUGGCGAAGAUCACCUUGGUGGCACUUCCUUCUGAAAUCAGAGUCUGUGUGCAGGAAGCCUCCAGUGAGAGGGGGUCUCAGCAGAGUCAUGCACCUCGACAUUUAGAAGUCAGAGUGCUGUGGCUGAGUUUUGCAUCUGUGUGUGGCAAUUUCUGGCGCAUGUCAAGAUGUACCAGCCCUGUGCACAGAUGAAGAAGGGAGAUGAAAUACUACGCAAUUUUGGAACUUAGUACGUGUACUGAGUGCAACUGUGACAGUAUCGCAGAGAUUGGA
rnacentral:lncRNA from 1 species